rnacentral:lncRNA from 1 species
CUCCAUCUCCUUCAUUCCCAUAUCUGCAAUAAAACAUAAACAUCUUUAGUGAUGCAGGAAAAAAUCAGUGCAAAGGAAGGAAGAACAAUGACUUUUUUCAUACCCCAUUGAGGGCGGAAUGGUAAGUCUUCGUUUCUCACCUACUCGCAUGCCUGAGGAUUUAUGUGCAGAAGAUAUAUUCCAUCAAACUAAGUUAUUAAAUAGAAGGAAAACAGAAUAUAGUUCAUUUUGAAAAUUUGGCCAUGAGAAUUGUACCUUCAAGACCAGCGUCCCAACCCUCAAUAACUUGCCCAGUUCCUGAAGGAAGCAAGAUAUAGAAAGAUAAUUUAAUUAGAAAAGACUCAAGGACACAAAUGUACAACCUAUAGAACAGAUCCUGUUCAAAUUAAGGUCAUGAAAGAUAAUUUAAUUGGAAAGAAGGAAAUGGAUCGCUCACACAUUGUGACCAAUGAGAUCUUACCCAAGCGGAAUUUAUAAGGAGGCUUGUCAUCCGUUGAGUCAACUAUUUCACCACUCUGCUUCAACUUACCAACAUAACGCACACUAAUCUAAAACCAAACAGAGUUCAAGCAUAUGAAGGACAUUCUAACAUGUGUCAGCAGUAAAGAAAGUAGCAUUAAAAGUUUGUAUAUAAGUUCAAGUGGAUCUUGCCUUUUUUUUCGAAGUUGCAACUUUUCCAUUUGGUUUCUCAGCUUCUAGUUCUUCAAUAACCAAGCCACUCGGUAAAGUUCUAGCAUGAGAUGACUUAGAGACACCAUUACUUUCCUUAUCCUCAGUUUCUGUGGUUGGUUUCUCUGCACCACCUGAAGAAAGUGUAUCUGACUUCAACGAAUCCCCGUUUUCUAUUGCUUUGGUCCUUUUCUUCUUGGAUAUUUUCUUUGCCAUGGGAUGGUUUUCACUCCUGCACACAAUGCAGUUGAAAACAUUGAACCUAGUAAUACGAUAAUGCUACAAUAAUAUCAAUAUAUGAUAAUUGUGUAUAAGGAACACGGGUGUCCAAAAACCACAUCGUGGCACACACAAUUAGAACACUCAAAAUUGCAACUUUGCAUGUACAAAGUGGAAUGAGAGGAAGUGGGUUUUAUUUCUAGCUGCAGGACCAAAAACCUGUUAACGAUAUUUGCUAGUGAACAGAGGAUGGUAGCAAGAAACCUAGGUCUCGCCCUUAUCAAAUAAGAUUCCAGAUAGAUAAUCUAGAAAACUCUGUGCUCUCCAAGUUUUUAUUAUAUUGUAAAGACAACAAAAGAAUUAUCAAGAAAAUUCAGAUGACGUAAGUUUCAAUAAUUUUAAUUCAGUUAGGUGACAGCUGUUGUCCAGUAAAUUAGAGAUAUCUCAUAAAGAAAGCAUUAGCAUUAAAUAAAGCUGAGCUGCAGCAUUAUCUUUUCCUCCUGUUUCAAGCAAACGAGUGACAAGAAUGCAGCACCACACAAUCCCAUUAGUUAACUCAGGCACCAACUUAAAAAUAAAAGAGAUCAUACACUAACUUACUGAUCAAAAGUGGGUUGCACAUCUUGGUUCAUCUUUCCAGGCUUGUGAUCACAUGUAUCGUCAUUUUCAAUGAUUUUCCCUUGCUCUGACCCUUUCUUCUUUUUCUUUUUUGGUCUCUCACCAUCUUCAUGGCCCAAAUCAGCUGAAGGGUAUGAUAAAUUAUCUAGUUCAGCUCCAGUGCUUGAGAUUUGAAUAAUAGCAAAAUCAUGAACAAAAGAAAUAGAGUAGUCAGCACGCUGCCAAAAUACAAAAUAUGCUAGAAUUACUCAAGUGAAUGUAAUUUAGCAAAUAUUUAUAUAUAUAUAUCUGUGUGUGUGGGUGGGUGGGUGUGAAGCUACUACUCACGCAGUCUCCUGUUUUCCUUUGCACACAGUAGUGACUGAGUUAUCCGUCUUCAAUUCAUCUUGUUGGAUCUCAACUUCUGAAGUGGCACAGCUACAGCUAUUACCAUCAGCUUCAGCAGAUUUUCUCUUAAACCGCUCUUCUUUCCGUUUCUU